ACGAACGCUGGCGGCGUGCUUAACACAUGCAAGUCGAGCGGUAAGGCCCUUUCGGGGGUACACGAGCGGCGAACGGGUGAGUAACACGUGGGUGACCUGCCCUCAGCUCUGGGAUAAGCCUGGGAAACCGGGUCUAAUACCGGAUAUGACUCCAUGACGCAUGUUGUGGGGUGGAAAGCCUUGUGCGGCUGAGGAUGGGCCCGCGGCCUAUCAGCUUGUUGGUGGGGUGAUGGCCUACCAAGGCGACGACGGGUAGCCGGCCUGAGAGGCGACCGGCCACACUGGGACUGAGACACGGCCCAGACU
rnacentral:rRNA from 1 species